rnacentral:lncRNA from 1 species
CCACCGCCACCAACCAAGCUACUUCACUCCUCACUGAAGCCAAUCAUAAUUCAUAACUGUCCUGAAAAGAUCCUUAUGCAAAUAUACUAGAAAUUGGUUGAAGCUGCGAGUGUAGUGGAGAAGAAGGUAUAAAUUAAUCUUUAAGGCCUUGGAGAUAACAGGGACUAAUAUAAGGAAAUUCGGCAGCUAAGUUGAGCAGAGUUGGGAGCAUUUAGAUGGCGAAGAAGAAUAUGAGAGACAAGUACCAAAAUGUAGAAUAACUUACAGAAACGAUAAACAACUUUGCUUGAUGUACAGAAUGCUUCUUCACGUAAGUCUGCCAGUCACACACAUGAGGGUGGGUAGAGUAUUUUUUGGCAAAUUUUUUUUUUCAGUGAACCCCAUAUGACGUGAGUAUUCCGGUAAUCUUCUGUUAAACUUUUUUCUGUAGAUUAAUUGAAUUGAACAAUAAACAUGCUGCAGAGGGAUUAUUUAAUUUGGCAGAUAAAAAAGAGCUGGACAUUUUAGUUUUCUAGAAUAAAUAUGGAUCCUCUGUACUAUGUAACAGUAGUAAGUUUAGCAUUAAAGGUUUUAUUCUAUUUUUUAUUUUUAUUUUUGGAGCCAACAGUAUUUUGGUCUUUCAUCUGAUUACUAGAAAUCAUAAAAAUCUCAUCCACAGUAUUUAGGAGUCUAAGAAGUCUAGAACAAUUUGAGUUAUUACUGAAUUUCUGAUAAUUUACUAGGCGU